rnacentral:ncRNA from 1 species
GACUAUUUGCCACCGGGCAAAAGAAUGUAAAGCAUUCAUAUACUUAUCGUUAGGUCUUUGAAGAUAAGUAUAUGAAUGCUUAAUUUUU